GGAAAGAGCCAUGACGCGGGAGGUGUCUUUCAUACUUUGAAUGAUUCCAUCCAGCUUCCUUCUGCAGGGACCCUGUGUCAGACGAACACAUGAGGGUGUUGGCAGGAUCAACAGCUGAUGACCACCCCCAACCCAACCUAUCCUAGGUUGAAACACUUGGCUAUGCCUGACUAAACAUCCAAUUGGAGAAUGUGCAUGACUACAGGAUUUGGGAGUGAGAACAGAAACGGCUUUUCAAAGGAUCCUUAACAGCUUAGAGACAAACUUGAAGAACUUUGAAGUCUCAAUAACCAUAACACCAUGACAACCACAAUGUUCUUCUGCAGGAAUCUAAGGCUAGGUGAGUAGUAACUGUCAACACGUGUCCGGGGGAAAUGUGGAGAUAUUACAGAACAAAUAAUUCAAGCACAUAUAGUUUGAUAGUAAAACUCCACAGGAUACAUGCCUCUACUAAUAAACUGUCUUUCCACUGAAGUCAAAUACUGUUGGACAAAGCCGAGUUUCAUAAAACUGAACACUUGAACCAUGCAGAGAGAAGCCAAACAUAGUACAUCCAGAGGAGAUUAACAGGUCAUUAACACUAAGCAUACAAAGUCAGGAUAUAUAAUUGCAUUGACAUUUAGCCAUCCAAACCAACAAAAAUCAUCUGAUAAAUUAUUAUUUAUCAAAUUUGCAAUACAAAAUGGCAUUUUAAUAGGAGUUAUUGCUUUUGUUCAUUUGUUUAGGAUUGUGGUUUAUUGCAUAAAAAAAUAGUUUAAAUAUAAUAUUAAUUCCUUUCAGAUCUAAUGCUGACAUGAAAUUCAUUGUGCAUUAAAUCCAUUUACUGUAUAUCCCUUAUUCUAAAUUGAGACAUAAUUGUGAAAUAAUUGUGAAACGCUGACAAAUGCACACCUGUUUUUGCACUUCCUAUAUUAAUGCACCAGGUUGCAUGGCAGCCAAAUUAUUAUAGUUAAAUAAAACUGAAACCAUAAACACUUUUAUUUGAAAUAAAUUUAAAUUCAGCAGAAAAAAAAGUCAACUUAUUUUGAGAUAGUUGUCAAGGAAACUUUUCUUGUUUUCACUUAGCUAACUUGAUGUUCGACAAUAACUAAAACUAACAUAAAAAUGUCUAAAAACUAGAGAGGAAAAAAAUAAAUAAAUCUAAUAAAAAUGACCUUUUAACUUCAAAGUUUAAAUCAAAAGGGAUGUAUAACACUAAAAUAGCACUGCUUGGCAUCCAUAACACAGUUGAUGCUAUUUAUUAUGCAAAUAAGCAAUAUUACUUGGCAAAUUGUUCAUGCAUUUGGAAAGCAUUUAAUUUGUAAAUACUUGGGUAAGGGAUCGGCACAGCAUUAUGUGUUUAGACUGAUGUUAAAUUCAUAUUAAAUAGAUAGUGUAUAUUAUUGUUGCUAUUGUAUCUUAGAGUGGCUUCAUUCGAGAAUCAGACAGAAUGGAAAUGGACAUACAGUCAGGCCCAAACAUCGAUGAUGUUGGGUUGCCAAGUAUUUUUGCGCAUACAGCCAAGAGGGCAUUAUCAGACAGCUGAGGCAGCCAGCAGAAAUGAUUGAGAUAACUGCCCUCACAGUCCCCCUGAGCUCCAGUGCUUCACAUUGCUGCGGACUGGGGCAGGGUGUUCUGGAGCGGCCCGGUGGUGAAAGAGUCUGUCUGACCUGGAGACGCAUGGGGCGGGUGCCUGGUCAUUACAGGAAUUGGUUUCCUGGCUUCUGAAGUUACAAUCAGAGCAUGGUGCUGUCUCUUUGAAAUCAAUCCCGCAACUCAUGACUUGGCAGACUGAAAUUUCUGUACAGAUUUCCCCGCAGGUUUGGGCUCCUGAAGCCACCUAAUCUGAGAUCGCCUCAUGGAAAUGUCGUAGGGAUGUUUGCCUAGAGGGAGAUUUACAUGGCUUGGAAAUGUACACUUCAAAUGGGAGGGCACAGGAUGACUGGGUUGGCACAAUUCCUUAUGGCUGUUUUUGUGAUUUUUCCUCCUCGUGCAUGGCACAAACGCACCGUGUUUGUGAAAUCAACAAUGCCUAGAGUUUACAAACCACUAAAUUCGUCUUUUCUGUUGUAGGCUUUUCGGAGUGAGGACCAAAAUCACUUUUUCCAUGCUCGUGGUCCCCAGCUUGUAAAGGUUUAGCGGGUCUGUGUUUAACAUCUGACACACAGCCAAGAACCUGGAGCCCGGCCAAACCAGACGUAUCACGUGUAGCCUGUCUAUUCAAAUGAGCUUUGGAAAGAAUGCAGAAGAGGUAUUGGUGUCUCUCCUCUUGGUCUUGCAAAACUUUUCAUUAAGAUAAAGGGACCCGAGCUUUGCCAAAGGAGAUGCAUCUGAUAGGGCUCUGUUUAAUAAUUUACACAUGCGCUGGGCAAUUAUACUUCAUGAAUAUCCACAGUUUCUUACAGCUUGGGGGCUAAUGAUGAAAGCAGAUCUCCUUUUGAGUUGCGUUGUCACCUUGUCUGAUUCUUUUUUUAUGAAUGUGCUGCCAAACACGCCGAGAAAUGCUUCUUAAGGCCCUAAAACCACGUGUUUUAGUGUCUUAUUAACAUGCACGGUUGGAAUUAGGUCUUCCUAUUGUUAAAUAUUCAGACUAGCUCGCCUUUGAAAGUCGUUCUUGAAGCAAGCCGUUCUGCUUUGUCUUGCAUUCAUUGUCACAGACCGACCAUGGCAUCCCUGGCAAGGAUCCACAGCUAAAUAUUUAAAGCCUGGACCGUGUCCACAACAUGUUUGGGCCUCUGUAGCAGGGAAGCAUGCCGCAAACUAAAGAAAACACCACGAAUGCAACCGAGCACUAAUGCUAGUUAAAACUGGGGUAAUUGCAAACUACAAAGCAACAUUAAGAGCAAGACCUGACUGAUUUGAGAUAAAAGUUUCCAUGUUGCAAUACACUAUCGGUUACGACCAAGAAAGCCAUCAUACAACUUACUAUUCAAACAAGUCCCCUGUAAUUCAGGACAAUGCAAAGUGAUGACACCUGUUGAUGCCCUUCAGGCUGAGAGCACAUGUGUGCACCUCUUCAUCGCCUGACCGUGUCUCAUGUCAUCAACACUCCGAAACAUGAACUCAGGAGGGUGCUCUUCAGGACAUCAAUGGAUGACUCCCAGUUGCUGAUUUCAAUUAGCUCAGACAAUGGCAAGAGAGCGAUACUGUCUGUAAGCUCAAGGCAUCUUUCCACCAAGAGUAUCUAGCUACAAUCUUUCCUCUUCUAAACUAGGCAAGAUCACUUUUUUUUUUUUUUCCCCAAGCAAACUUUAGCCAUCCAAACAACAUUAAUCUUUAUAAUUACUCUUAAGAUUGUAUAUAAUCAUUUGUAGGUGGUAUGUAAUUAUUUAGGAAGGGAAAGUGAAUAAAAGCCUAAUUUGAAACAUUAUUAGGAAUUUCCAAAAUGAAGGGUGGGAUAUAUUGAAGAUUUUAAACAGUUUUUAAACUAUAGGAGUUACGGCUUGGCGAUAUGAUGGUAAAACUGUGUCAAUCAGAGAUUUUGCUAUACUGUACGAGUUAAACCAUGGUAGAUAUAUUUGCAUGGCUAUCAGUGGGCAGGACUGCUUUACAUUAUUUACACAUGAGAAGAAGAAAAACAAGCAGUAAUGUGAAAAUAUGAAGCGAGACGUGUCCCUAAACAAUUUGAGGACUUUUUUUAUAUAAAGGAGUGUAAUGUGAAGAAAUUUUUGCUUGUUUAGUUGAGUUUACAUUGAGGCUCAGAAUUUAGCAUCGUAACUGCUGUUUUUAUGUAGGUCAAGCGAGAUUUUGAGUGUUAUUUGAUGUGAUUUUUUAUGAAUGGAUAUUACGGCAUGAUGAUUUCAUAUGCAAACCUUUUUAGGCUUCAUUUGCAUCUCAGAAUUCAGAGUCAUAACUACUUGUUUUGUAUGUCUAAUAAGUAAUAGUAUAUAUUUUGAGUGUUAUUUGAUGUGACACAAUAAUCAUUUUAUUUGCGUCUAACAAAAAAGAAGAGAAAAUCAAACGUAACUUUUAUUUGCACUUAGUUCACUAGGUUAUCUAAAAUUAUGUGUUACGGCAUGAUUGUAAAUGUAAACCAUUGAUUUAAUUAAAUUUACAGCAAAAAUAACUACAGUAUAUUGAAAUUACUGUGUUAGCACGAUAUAAAGUUACUCAUAAAAUACAAUAGGAAGUAGUGCAAUAGGAAGUAGACUUAUGCACACAACGUGUGUGUGGCUCAGAGAAUGAGCUUUACCAGUCAUUUUCGAAUGAAUCUGCUACCCUAAGCAGGCCAAAUUCUGUCACCACACUGCCUUUCCCAUGAUCCUCAACAACUAAAUGUAACAGCUGUAACAAAACUAACGAUUUUGUCUUGUGCUGUAUCCUCCCGAGAAUCCUGCAGGGCACAGAAUUUGAGGCAGCGCUUUGGAACCACAUCUGAACCUGUGCUGCAGGCAAGAAAUUAGGCACCUUUUGUUCUCCUUCCCUGAAGAAACGUGACACUGCGGCUCCCCCUCCACCGGCUUGAAGCACAUGACAGGAGGUUUCAACAGGUCGGCGUCUUCUGCUCAACCACAGGGUUACAGCCCUGCUGUCUGCUUACAUUUUCUAAACGGCCCAGCAUGAGGAUGUCGCUGCCCAGGAAUCACGUUUCUGACAGAGACGAGACUACUGUGUGAGCUGAUUUUCUUCACAGCUGUUACUCACUCGCUAGCUUUCCAGGUGCCAAUGACAAAUACACGCUGGACAGAUUGCUGUUAAACUUUACUGGAAGAAGUCAUUUAAGCAUGCCAAAUAGGUUCCCUACUUGCAUACCUCUGAAAGGAUGACUGGGCACUUGAUAUACGAGCACUGUAGGGAUUAUGGUUAAAAAAGAGGAGAAAGUAUUCUGUAAUGUAGAUUUCAAAAAGCUGGGCAUCACUUUCAAAAAGUGCAAGAGAUCUAUUCAGGUGCUAUUCAGUGAAGCGACGCGUAUAUCUUUCAGUGUCAGUCUGAUGUUGCAAACAAAUAUAUGUUUCUGUGAGUUUGGCCUGUGGCGCAAUAAAAAAAUUAGAUGACAGACAGGCAAUAGAAGAACAACUGCGUUCCAUUCCCUUGUAAUCGUUGUUUAGUUAUGGCUACGUCUCUAGUGGGUAAAUAAAGCGCAUAAAUCAGCGAUAACGAAGUAACCGAAUACAACAGCCAAUUGCUUUCGGCCCAUUUCUUUACGAUGGUUUACUUGCACGCUCUUAGAUUCAGACCUGCAAUCGUUGCGAACGCUGCAUACAGUUCUUUUGGGCAAGAUGCCUGUAGUCAUAUCUGUUAGCAGCUGCAUCCAAGUUCCACAUGGCAUGUCCGAACAGAAAGUCUCCCUUGUGAUCGUUAGCAAAUUUGCAGUAUUUGUCAAUCCUGGAGCUAAAUGACAAUCUGGCGUCGCCUAUUGUACUUGGCUCUGAACACUGAAUCUUUAAACCGUGAGCGCCAGCAUUCAAGACCAUGAAGGUAUGACACUAUUCACGUGAGUGAGACAUGAUUCCAUUUUAAACUUGUAUUUCAAUUUUAUGUUUGCACAACUGUGAAACUAAGGCGUGCUGGGGGAAUAAAAAUGGAUCGGGAAGACACAAGGCCAAAAGGCUCUGAAUCCUAAUGCGGGCAAGGACGCUUGACCUCUCUCCCUCAUUCCCUCUCUCUCUCUCUCUCUCCCUCUCUCUGUCUGUCCUGCCCAGCUAGUAAAACCAGGCUGAAACCGAAUACCACGGGAGGCUAGAAGCGUCCCUCUAAAUUCAUCCCCAUGCUUGACGAAUAGCUCUUGAUAGAUCGGCUCCACAGACAUUCUGCUGAAUCACAAGGGCUCGACUGUGUGCCCACUGCAAUCACAGAAGGGGUAAACCAGCAACCGCACUCAUCAGAGGACUUCAGAUAGAGACAAACAGGUUUCUGAUGUGCACCUGUGUGUGAGGGGGUUGUAUUUGUGUACAAACGGUCGUGGUGAAAGCCCACGACUGAAUUCAACCUCAUCGGUUUUGAAUAUGUGCUGUCUUGUUGGAUAAAGCAUUGCUGUAGUCUAAAAGAUAUAGUUCUGUAACCCAUCAUGCUAUUUUUGUUCAUGUGGCUCAACUGGUAGAGCACUGCACUAACAACGCCAAGGUUAGGGGUUUGAUGCCCGAGGAAAGCAUGAAUUGAGUGCACAGAAUAAAAGCAUCUGGCAAAUGCGUAAAUGUAAAUAAUUAUGCAUGCUGUGCAUGAUUACUCUUCGUAAACGUGUGAUUUUUGCACAUAGGUCGGCUUGUAGAGACACCGUGGCUACCCUCCUCCCCUUGGAUUUAAUCUUUGAACAGUAAUCCGACCCUCAACACCACCCACAGACUUAGACCUAAAUUCAGAGCAACCUAGAAUCUCAAUCAAGAAUAUCAUGAGGCGUGGGUACACCGUACAAUGAUGAGAGGUGUGAUCAUAACAAUGGAGGAGUCCCUAACGUCAAUAGAGCACCAAACAAAUGCCAUUGCCAAAUCAAACCAUAACUAAACACAAAGCAAGUGUGUACGAGGUUAUGCAUCUCGAGGCGUCUUUACUCAGUUCAGAGGAGCAUACUAAAGUAUGCAAUUCUGCUGAAUCUGAUGCUGCUUUGCUUCUAUGCCAAUGAAAUGCAAUGAAACUUUGCCUUUAUAGUGCAUAUAUUUAUAGGUUAAUAUUUUAACUUUCAUACAUUUCACUGCACAUCAUUUCUAUGUAAAUGCAUUAUAUGAUACUUUAUAUGCAGCUUCAGUACAAAAAUGGUACAGUGAUGGUAUCAGAUGGCAGUGCCAUGGUACAUUGAUAUAUCCCUUAAAAAAGUACAGUGGCAGUGACUUGGCACAGUGAUGGCAUUAAAUGGGAACUUUCAAAACAAUACUAUGAUACUACUAUGGUAAAUGGUAUAAAACAUGGUAGUACCAUGGUAUAUGUCCAAAAUGCAUUGGUAGUCCCAAUGAUAUUGAAAUCCCAAGUAUUCUAUACUCAUUUUAUAAUGCUCAAAUUUGAACGUAUCUGAUGACGAUACAAUGGUACUGGAAUGGCAUUUACAUCAUACUUUAGAUGCGUCCAAAAAUGUCAUGGUACAUUUCCAGAAAACGCGGUACCACCACGGUACUUUUUGUAUAAGUGCCUUUGCAGCGUGAAGAUGGAAACCGUUUUGUUAAUAUUUGGCUUUGGAUGAAACAUAAACAGGCUUCACUAAUCCUAGUAAUCUACAGCGCUGGAAUAUGAUGGAAAACAGCACUGAGCAGCGCAGCUCGGCCACAACACAGAAAAGCUCAUGCAGAAACAUGCGCACGCCAUAAAACUGGAUCAGCGCAAGCCACAAAGUUCCCACCAGAUACACGAUCUCAACGCAACAACGCUUCCGUGCAACAAAGGCGCACUGCU